ACUAAAUGUGAGUGAGUGGUGCAGUGAUUUUAUGUGGCAGCAGAGGAUACCAAUAAUGUGAUUUCGACCUACUGGAGAAAGUGCCUAAGCUAGCUAUUUUCCAGGAGCUACAACGUGGAGAGAGCUUGGGGAAAGGGUUUUUCGCAGUGCAUGCCGUGCGCUUUUGGGCGGAUGUAACUAAUACGCCUGCUAGCUAAAUACGCCGCGGACAUGGGACAUCAGUCACCGGUGGUCAGUGCGUUCUCCGUCCGGAUUGCGCAAUCCUACGGCUCGUUAUCGGCUGGCUUGGAUUUCCUGUUAUUAGCUUUUCAGCUGCGCAUUUGCAUCGGUUUCGGAUACAGAUACGGAUUCGGAUUCGGAUUCAGAUACGAAUUCAGCCAAUGCAUACAAAACGGCCAAAACGAUCGCCAGCCACUUGGCCAACAGACGACAAAAGGCGGCCGAAAGGGGAAAAUGUUCGGAGGAGAUGGCCAACAAAGGCGGGACAUGCAAAUAAUUGAAUCGAAUUGAAUUGAAUCGAGAUAUUGGCCCAGAGAUACUUAUUAACUGAUUAAAUAAAACAAUGUGCGAACGUUUAUUUCGGUUCGCAUUCAUGGGGCUUUUAUGUGUUGGAUUGCAUAAUUAUAUGGCAUUUGUAAAAUGUUUUAUGACAAUAUUUUGACAUGAUAUAUAGUUUAGAUGAGAAUGAGA